CUCGAAGGCCUUAAUUGCAAAGAAUGUGGAAAUCCUGUCAGGGAGUGACUGGUGGCGCCAGUUUAUUUGAGGUGGGGGAGGAUAUCGGAUAUUCAUCUAUUCACACGCAAUUUGAUUGGCAAAGGCUCUAUAUUAGUGUGAAUGUGGCAGUGCAAAGGGUGCUCAGUAGCAGUUUCCAGUAGAUUGGCACUACUAAACCAUUAUCGAGUCCAGCAUCCUCAUUGUGGACGUACAAGCCAGUAUCCAUGAUGAUGACGUCGAUGUUGGGCGAGAGUGUAUUAUCAAGGGGCUCUGCGUAUACCUCAGUGAGGACCCAGGCAGUUUGGUGAAAGAGUAUGUGUGUACUUGAGCCGGUAUGUGUGUCCCGUGUGGAGCAACCGGGGCCAAAGUGCACACCAAGAGAUUCUGCUCGUGGAGAAAACCUACUGCUCCGUGUACACCCAAUGAACAUGGAGAACCGGACGUUUCUGACCCUAGAAAAUCUGGCCACGGUGUACAUCAGAGAAAUGUUUAUGAGAGGUUUUAAUAAUCAAGUUUGACAGUGUUUUGAAUGGAAGCGAGGAAAAUAGUCUGAGUAUUUGACAGCUUUGUGUGUCGUCUGAGGCCAAAGAUUAGAUUCUGACAAAAGAGAAUAUGUUUUUGACUAAAAGUUUGCACUAGUUGGUGUGUAGUUUUGAGAUUGUGUUUAUAGGUGUGAGAAAAUGGUGAAUUGUUUCAUGAAUUGUGUUAGCAAUCGAGAAAAACUGUGACAUAAUUUUAUCAAUUAUAUAUAUAUAUACAGUUGUUGUUAUUGUUUUUU